GACAGGAAUUGAACCUGGGACCUUUCAGUCCGCAGACCGAUGCUCUACCACUGAGCCAAACCGGCUUCGGCUAGGGCCAGAAUUUUUUUAUGUAGCCAUUCCAUCAUGGAUACAUGUGGGAAAUAGAAAAUUAUGACUUUGGGAAUUUAAUGAUUUGUAUAAUUGUCUUUAAGAACCCUAAGAAGAAAGAUUUCCUAAUUUAUAUCUCACUAACAUUCUUUUGGCCUGGGUAUUUCUGACUCAUGAAAAAGAAAAAUAUAUUUUCAAUCCUAAGUGUUGCCUAUAGUGAUUUCCAGAAUCCAGUUGUAGGAAGCUAAUCAUUUGUACAAGGUCAAGUAUCAUGAUCAAAAUAGGCACACUCUCCUACCUCAGCAGUUAAAUAAGAAUGUUUGAGGAGGCAGCGUGGUAAGAGGAAAUUUUAAAAGGUUUGGUUCAAAUAUUAAGCAAUGUAAAAGAAGGCUACUAUUGUAGAAGGGCGGUGAGUUUAGAAGAUGCAUCUGAAGAGCACUCUUCGCAUUAUAGAAGGGUCUAGAGAGAGCACCCUUCUGUUUAUCAGUGAUCAUGAGAACAUGGCUGCCGCUGCUGGCUAAGAUGGAAUAGCAGAGAGCAGAGCAUGAGGAACGAGUCUUUAGUAAGAUGACUGCAUAGGCUGACAGUGCUUGCAUUUCCCCUGCGAGGCUUUUCCACGCUGCUUUUGUUACUCAACACCAUAAUCAUAAUCAGAAGAUGACAGCCUCAGAUCCCAGCUCUGCAGGUACUUCCACUUAAGAUCAAAUUAAUUGCCCGGCCAGCAUGGCAACGGUGGUUGAGUGUCACCCUAUGAACCAGGAGGUCACCGGUUCGAUUC